CAAUAGCAUAUAUUAAAGUUGUUGCGGUUAAAAAGCUCGUAGUUGGAUUUCUGCUCGGGACGACCGGUCCGCCCUCUGGGUGAGUAUCUGGCUCGGCCUGGGCAUCUUCUGGAGGAACGCUGGUGUGAUUGAGUUCAUGUCACGUAACUCCAGACUUUUACUUUGAGGAAAUUAGAGUGUUUCAAGCAGGCAACUGCCUUGAAUACAUUAGCAUGGAAUAAUAAGAUAGGACCUCGUCCCUACCUUGUUGGUUCGUAGAGAUGAGGUAAUGAUUAAUAGGGAUAGUCGGGGGCAUUCGUACCUAACUGUCAGAGGUGAAAUUCUUGGAUUUGUUAGAGACGGACAACUGCGAAAGCAUUUGCCAAGGAUGUUUUCAUUGAUCAAGAACGAAAGUUAGGGGAUCGAAGACGAUUAGAUACCGU
rnacentral:rRNA from 1 species